rnacentral:hammerhead_ribozyme from 1 species
AUUCAGCUGACAAGCCCCAAAUAGGACGAAGGGCGCGGCCUGAAU